UACAGAGGUCUCAAGCGUUGUUCGGAUUCAUUGGGCGUAAAGGGUGUGUAGGUGGCGCGCUAAGUCGGGUGUGAAAUUUCGGAGCUUAACUCCGAAACUGCAUUCGAUACUGGCGUGCUUGAGGACUGGAGAGGAGACUGGAAUUCAUGGUGUAGCAGUGAAAUGCGUAGAGAUCAUGAGGAAGACCAGUGGCGAAGGCGGGUCUCUGGACAGUUCUGACACUGAGACACGAAGGCCAGGGGAGCAAACGGG
rnacentral:rRNA from 1 species